ensembl:rRNA 5S_rRNA 5S ribosomal RNA
UGGAGAUACCAUAUCACCCUGAAUGCACUCAAUCUUGUCUGAUCUUGGAAGCUAAGCAGGGUCGGGCCUGAUCGGUACUUGGAUGGGAGAGAAUAUAUUCAGUAACGUGAA